GUCCUUAUCUUCGUAUUCUCUCGGCAUCGAACGUGGGAGGUUCACAGUUCCGGAGACUUAGCACGUCGGGUACGGGACGCCGCAGGUGCGCGCAACCCGCUUGGCGUUGGGUGAGGUGACAUACUGCCGCAGAUUCGGAUUCCUGAUGUACCCGCAGAGGCACGGCCUCUGCUCUCGCAGCUUGCUACAGCACAGCGCCGAGGGAGGCGCGGACGACGUGAUUGCGGAGACACACGAGCUCAGCUCCGUGGCGCUGCACGUCACCGCUUCCGCUACUCGGGCCUGAUCUGGCGAGAGAAGCACAAGCACCGCCACGAGAGCGGCCGCAAGCAACCGUGGAGAUGGGGAGGGAUCGGAUGGCUUGGCCAUGAUCUUCAGAGGGAAGCGAAGUGGAAAGGAGAUUGAAAUCAGCGGAGAGAGAGCGCGUGGGGACUGGAGAGGUUGGUGGGGGUGUAUGUUGUGUGGCCAAGGCAAGAGAUAGUGGAUUUAUAAGGACGGCACUUCAAUUAAAUGUCGCAUAACUUAUUUUGAAAAGAAAUUACAAUAGGCUAAUCAUACAAUUAUAGAGGCUUGGUUGCAUCCUUGCGAUGUUUUGGGCUCUAGUGCAUUUUGUGUCAGGCAUUCUAGUACACAAGGAAUAGACCACCCCCCACCUGUAGACGUUGAAUUGUAUCGCUGUCGGCUCUCUACCUUUUAAGGCUACAUUUAUUGCCUAAUGACCGCCUUGUUUCUCGGGGCAUCUUCGCCAGCCACAAUAUAAUAUAUAAUAUACAUGGAGGAAAAAAAAAAAAAAGAGAGAGAACGAAAGAUGGUCAGUGCUUUUAUUAUUAGAAUUCAUUUCGUGAAAAGGAUCACUUUCUUUGUUAUUGCCUUGCAAACCUUACUCAUAAGUUUCAGAAUUGAGAUUUUAUUACAUCUGUGUUAAUUUCAAUGUGCCGACCCGUGAAUUUGAAUAUCAUUUAGAGAACAUGAAUUAAUUUUAAAGACUUCGUGUGCACACAUGUAUCAAUCAUCGGACAUCAUCUAUGGAGCUUAUUUUUCAUUACGAGGGAUUGAUAGAAAAAAAAAAAAUCAUUAGCAUAGUGCUUUAAAUCUUAAAAAAAGUAAAAAUUCAAUUUUUUCACUAAACUUGAUUUGGACUUAGACCAUCGCAUCAAAUCUCCCGUCAAUGAAGGGAAAAUAUCCUUUCCUCUAUCAAAUGGAAAGCCACUAGAAUUUAAUAGAUGGCAAUAUCAUCAUCGUUACUAUUACAUAGAAUUUUCAAACCACCCUUCAUCCGAUUACUCCUGAAGGAGCAUGGACCUCAGCAGGAGGAUAACAAAGAAGAUGAUGGAUGCUUCAAAGCGGCCAAAAUAGAUAGAGCAAGAUAGGCUUAGGCACAUGCACGGUAGGCAAAACAACGCGGCAAUCGACGUUAACUUCAUUCGAGGUCAACUCUCAGCCACAUGAUAGAACAUGGCUAUCUUCGAAUUCAACAGAAUAGUUGGAAAAUUAUUCUAACAAAAGCCGCCCGCGGGCGCAAGCCGGCUUGGUUCUCGCAAGUAUUCGGAGAGCUAGAAACGAAGAACGGUUGCGAAUGCGUUGAAUACGUCCGCAUGCCGGGAAACUUCCUCUUCACCAAAUACAGGAAAAACUUGUUGGAUUUUCCUAUGAUCUGCUCAACUGGAAGUCUACUUUGCUUUACUCUUCACGGCAAGAAUGCCAAUGUGAAGACGGUUAGAUAAAGCUCGUGAAAUUUCCCGAAUGCCGCCAGAAAUUUCGGUUUCUACUCUUGACUUGGAGUCAACCCAUUCUAUCUUCCAGUCAUACACAGCUGUGCUAACCCACUCAUUUGCAGCCACUUACAUCGGUGUGCAAAUCUGUCAUUAGACAUUAUUGUCAAUUAGGGGUGAGCAUGGUCGAGUGAACAUUUCUCACUCUAGAUCCGAGAACCACCCACUAAAGACCAAUUUUUGAAAAUUAGAACCGAGAACCGCUCAUUAAUUUCAUGGAUUUACCUAGGAACCGGACCAUCGGUCCAAUCCGAUUCAUGGGUGAGUCUAUAGAACUGGUUCCACCAAGCUCCACGCGUUAACACUAUAAUAUGCAAUAAAGAAUUACAUGACGGAAUCACAUCAUCAAAUACACUUCCAAUUAGAGCUAAUAAACCAACAAUAUUAGUAUGUCAGAAAGUGUGUAAGCAAGAGAGCAAACUCACAAACUUGUUACAAGUGGGCAUAUUAGCAUGUAGCCUAGGGAUUAAGGAUUUUUCAUUUUUUAAAUUAAAAAUUAAAUAUAUAUUAUAUACCAUCGGUCUUGUCCAAGUGGGCAGUUCCACACUUGCAACUAGGAACCAAGAAUUGGACCAGUUCCCUUAAGAAUCACUGUUUCUUAGGCAGUCUAGGCAAUUCCCGGUUCCUUCGUACACCCCUAUUAUUAGCCCUCGACCUUACAUUGGGCAUGCCAUGUGUAGAGAGAGAGAGAGAGAGAGAGAGUAACGUCUUUCCAACUGAAAGCAUGGUGGUAAUGAUUUUCAAGACGAUAAGAGGCAUAUUUAUUAGAAGAGAUAUAUGUGCUGGAAUUCUUAAAAUUUAUCAACAAAAUGUUAUUAAGUUAUAAAAUUUACAAAUAAUACAAUCAAAUCCUAAUACUUGUCAAAUUGGUACACUCAAAUUCUUUCAUAAACUUCAUUCAUUUAGAUUAAUGAAAAAUGUUACUGUCGCUUUUUUUAAUAUUUUCUAUCCCAACAUGGUGAUGAUGUGGAUUAAAUUCUGAUUGUUUAAACCAAAAUACUAAUUAAAUAAAAUAAGAUAAGUAUUUUAAAAAAAAAAACACACACACACACACAAAAGGGAGUGUUUUUGACGAGCGAACAAACCAAAGGCGUCGUCCUUGCCAUUGUCGCCCUCGUCGCCAACCGAUGAGGGCCAAUGAAACCUGUCGAGCCCUGGUGACCCGUGUCCAGAUUUGGAUGAAGGUCAUUAGCCCUGGCUGAGGCCCUGGCGACCCCCACUAGCCCUUUUUGACAAGGAGGGGGGCGGCGAAGAGGGCCCGCCCUUCCCCUUGCCUCCUUUUAUUAUAUUUUCUUAAAUAUUUUUAUUUAAUUUAAUUAAAAUUUUGGUUAAAAAUUAGAAUUUAAUCCAAAAUUGUGUCAUUUUAGCCCUGUGUUCCAUGUUUUGGUCACUUCAUCGCCAUAUAGAAGAGAGCAACUAUUAGAAAAAGCCAUGUCAACAAUUUUCAUUAAUCUAAAUAGACAGAGUUAACGAAAGAAUUCAAUUGUACCAAUGUAAAAAGUUUUAAGUCUUGAGUAUACUUUUUUAUAUAUUUUAAGAACUCGAUUGCACUUUGUUAAAAGUUUUAAGACUUUCGGAGCACAUAUCUCUUAUGAAAAAGACCAUUCUUCAAAGGGACCAUUAAGCUUUUGAGCAGAGAUAUUUUUUGGUAACUAAUAAUUUUUAUAUUAUUUGGGUGAUAUUGUUGUUUAGACAUAAUAAAUUAUUUUAGUAAGAAAUAUUGAAAUUAGAUUAUUGUCAAAUCACAGUUUUUUUUUUUAAAUAGCCCGCUAAAUUCAUGAAUCAUGUAGUGUACAAGUCGAAAUCUAAUUAAAUGGCCUUACAUUCAUCCCUCAAAUAUUUACAUGCGGUUUUAUUAUCUAAAGAAGCGAUAAGUCUUUUUUUUUUCCAUUUCAUAGUUAUGGUAUCUGUAAAUUCAGCCCAAUGUACUUAUAGAUGAAGCAAUUUCUUUGGGGAAAUGUGAGAGUUUUCAAGCUAUAAUUUUUUUAUUAAUUGAAUAUAUUUCUUUACAUCAUUUAAUGACUCGCACCAAACGCAGGAGUUAGAAGGUACUCUCGUGUCAAUAUGAUUAUGAUAAUAGACAGGUGUAAAAUUGUUAAGAGCCGCCCAAAAAAACUAUGGAAAGUAGAGGUGACAACAUUUACUAGUGAUGUGGUCGCUAAAGAUACAAAAAUGCGCAAAUCAACGUUUAGUCUGCCUUUCGACAAAAAAAAAAUUAAAAAUUAAAGUUGUCAUCGACCACAAAAAGAAAGCAUUGAAGUUAAUUGACUAGACCAAAUGAGAACUCCAGAAUUUUACCAGCGACUUUUAGCGCUUGAAAACGCGGAAACAAUGGCAGUCAAAAAGAAAGUGGGAAAUAAAGACCUGCUCUUUCUCAUUUUUUCUCUAUGCUGGGAUUGAAUCGAUUGAAGUCAUCUACGUGUAAAAACUAUCUGAAAACUGACCAUUUCAUCGAGGAUGAUCCUCCUGACUUUUGGACCUUCCCCGGAGCGUGUCUGUGAAGUUUCCUCUCAUUAGAUAAUAUUGUUAGACAUUCUAAGAUAUUAGAGCUAUUAUUUAAUAUUUCAUUACUUUCUAAAAUAGUCAAUUUCCUCAUUAAAUUACUUCCUUUCCUAUACGUAUUGUUCGGAUGUAAACACUCUUGUGGUGGCCUGGCGAGGCUCCGACAAGGUCGCCAGCCCUCGUCUGGCCGAUGGCAAGCGACCGGCCAAAAGGAAGAAGAAGAAGAAGAAGAAGAAGAAGAAGAAAAGAAAGAAAAGAAAAAAAAAAGGAGAGAGAAAAAUUAUUUCUCGGAAUUGUUCCCGGGAACAAAAAUUUUAUCAAAUGUGUUUCUAUUCUUUUUUUGUUCCUUAGAACAAAAGAACAUAAAUUUUUGUUCUGGGGAACAGAAACAAAGUUUGCCAAACAAACCCUUAAAAGCCCUAUUUGGCGAUCAAGGUCGCCGCAACCAGAUCGAGCAGCCCCAGCGACCUCUGCAUGGAGGUCGCGGUGCGGCGGGUCACGCGACCUUCCGGCAAGGCGACCCGCCAUGCUGCGACCUUCAUGCGGAGGUCGCCGAGGCCGCUCGAUCUGGUUGCGGUGACCCUCACUAACCGCUUGCCCCUUGCCAGACCGCCUGCCCCUCGCAGGCAGUAACUAGCCAAUUCUCUUCUUUUUUUUUUUUCCUUUUUUUUAAUAACAAAAGUCUUUUGCAAAGUUAAUUUGUCCAAACACUAUUUUGCUCAAACAUACUUCAUAAUAGACUUUCACAAAUACGAUUUACCAAACACUAUUUGCAUUUUCAAAAACCCCUUUAGCUCAAAGACCUUUACAUUUUCUCAAUGAUUUUCCCCAAAAGUGAGUACUAAACUCAUUCACAGAUAGGAUUCGCCCCAGUGGCCACCCUUCUAACAUGAAAAUGGGAGGUGAGGGAUUCAAAUCCCCAUCUUCUCAGGGGAAUGGAGUGGGGACGCGUAAGUUUCAGAAGUGAGUUUCGACUCCCACGCCCUGCAAGAGGCAGGGCAAAAGUCUGAGAGUGAGUGUAGAGUGGGAAUAAAGUAGAACUGACAAAAAAAAAAACAUUCGCAGAAGGCCUUACCAAAUCGCUGUAUGGGGGGGGGGGGGGUGUAGAGAUAGAGAGAGAGAGAGAGCCAAUUAUAAUAGUUCAAAAGAAGUGCAACUGAAGAACACUAAAUAAGACUUCGUCUCUUCAACUUCAUAGGACACAACUAUAUAGGUCAUGGCAACAUCAUGUCGUUGAAACAUGAUUAUUACAGCAAUCUUGCUUGUUUCUUUAUUUCAGCUUAUUUAAUCAGUAACUACUACAUCUUCAUUCUUAUUUUCAUAUUCUCUCGGCAUCGAGCAUGGGAGCUUCUAGGUUCCGGACACUAGCACGUUGGGGACGCGACGCCGCAGGUAGAAGCAACCCGUUUGGCGUUGGGAGAGGUGAAGUACUGUUUGAGAUUUGGAUCCUUGAUGUACCCGCAGAGGCAUGGUCUCUGCUCUCGAAGCUUGCUACAGCACAGAGCCGAUGGAGCUGCAGAGGAUGUGAUCGCGGGCAGGCACGGGCUCAGCUCCGUGGCGCUGCACGUCACUGCUUCCACUACUUGGGCUCGAUCUGCCGAGAGAAACACGAGCACCGCCAUGAGAGCGGCCGCAAGCAAGCGUGGAGAAGGGGAGCGAUUGGAUGGCUUGGCCAUAACCUUCAAUGGGAAGCAAGUGAAAAGGAGAUAGAAAUUAGUGGGAGAGUUGUGGAGACUGGAGAGGCAGGGGGGGUGUGUGUUUUGUGGAGCGAUAGGAGAAUCAUAGAGAUGGCACUUCAAUUUCAAUCAACAAUUAGAGUUAACGGAAAAACUAUCCAAAAAAAAAAAAAAAUUUACACUAUUCGACAUGGAUGUAUAUACUAUUUGGUACAGUUUGGCACUAUUUGAAACUAUCGCAG
rnacentral:lncRNA from 1 species